GGGGCAGUGAAAAGCUGCUAACCCCUAGUGAGCUCUCCACUCUUUUGUACACGCAGAGCUCGCAACACCAUCAAAUUGCCGGGACAUCCUGUUCAUGCUGCUGGUACCUCCAGGCACAGGGAAACCUUGCUCUGGAACCAUGGUGAAAGCCGUGGGUAUGGUAAAAAUCUGGCAGCUAGGGACGAUCGGCAGCCAAGCGCUAAAGGAGCCUCAUUCUUGAGGCUCUGAAGCGUGCAGUUCACAGACUAAAUGGUGGUGGGUUUCCUCUCACACAGAGAGGGAGCUUAAGAUAUAGUCGGUCCCCACUGCAAGGUGGGCUCAUGGGAGGAAAGCCUGUUAGGCUGGAGAGCCCAUGAGCAGCUUGUGUGGUCUCACUCAAGCUGGGGUAAACGAGGUGAACCUG
rnacentral:rRNA from 1 species